ensembl:lncRNA
CAAAUGUGUGACGCAUGGUCAGGCUCUCUCUGCUUCACUUAUGGACGCGCAGGGUACCCCCCUCGCGUCGAGAAUUGACGUGCAGGGUCCUCCUAUUGAAUACUAUAGAGCUCCCUAAUCGUUGUUUAUUGACGACAAGAGAUUUCCGCGGAAGAGCUUGUUAUGGAGGAUCACUGACAGGAGCGUGGAAGACUCCAGAAUCCACUCUGGCUGGAAUCCGGUGGAUACAGCAGUGUUACAGAACAGUUCUCCACAGUCGCUGUCCACAUGGGUCAGUGGGACCAAGCAGCACUCUGCUAAUGUGGGACUCUGACCAGCAACAUCCAGCAAGACCCAAGCAGCGUUUUCUAUCUCCCAGCUGGAGUUUUUUGUUUGUCUGUGACUGGAGAGUCAGAUUUUUGUUGAAGCUGGAGGAACAGAGAGGUUAAUACACGCUACUGAUCCCUGAUGGGAGAAUCAUCACCUCUGCCAACAAAGAAGCCUGGUGGAUGUUUGUUUGCAGUCUGAUGAUGGGACAUCAUGCUCUGCAUCUUCAAAGUCUGUGUCUUGAUUAUUAUUGAUACACAGUAAUGUGAAGUAUGCUUAUAUCUAGUAUAACUGGACCAACCUGGUGCUCUUCAUUUAUGGAGGCUGUUGAGUCUGAAUGUUGGAUGUUGUGUAUCUCGUGUUCUCUGGGCUUUGUUGUCCUCAGUCUUUUUGCAGGAUCAGGAAACAAAACCAGGAGACCUGUAAAUGUUUCUUCUCCAGUUGGAUGAUGAUAAGACUGUGACACGGGAUGCCACCUUUGGUCUUGUGAUGAAGCAAAGCUCAGGAAGAAGUGUGAUUAAAUGGUACCCACAUGUGUGCUGCUGAGAAGGAUGUACAGGGGCACCUGCAGCCAAAUCCAAGCCUCCUCAGCAACUUCAGGUCUGUCAGCGUGCUGAGGUCACAGAAACAAGAAAAGCAGCUUCAGACUUCAGAGUGUUGUUUACAGUUUUCUGUCAUCAUGAUCUCCCCUGAAGUUUAUCACUAUUAUACAAGCAAGCAGAGCGGCAGUUUGUGCUCACAGAUGGUGACGGUGUGGAGAGACGGUGGUGUUUCCUCAGAAGAACCAGUCACAAAGAGUCCAUCUCACCACCUUGACUUGCUGACUGAUGCUCGUCUGCACUGCACAGAGGAAAUCAACUGACCGAGGAGUGUUUCUGGGUGAGGGAGAGAGGAGUCAUCAUCCAGGUAAAGUGACGUGGAUCAGUGGAUACACUUGUCUCCCCUUUAAAGGAGAUACUCUUAGAGAGAGACGAUCCGAGUCAUCCUUAAAUGUUAAUGCUUUCAAAUACACAAACAUUUUUAAAGGACAAAAUCGAACAUCCAACUUUGACUGUAAUACAAUUAAAUCUUUGCAUGUGUGUUUUCAAACUCUCAGAUGGGAAGGAUAUCACUAUUAGACUGUCUAACCUGCCGGAGCAGCACUGAAUGAUCACCACACAUGAGCAUGUUCCUGCAACAUUCAGCAGCUUUGCUUUUGCUGGAGAGGAAACUACACCAGUGUACUGGGAUGUUUCACCAACACGUGCCAGACGCUGUAACUUCAUGGUGACAUCACCAGAGACAGCCCCGCCCACCUCAGGACCUCGCCAUUGAUCAUGAUGAUUAUAAUGAUGACAGCGAGCGGAACUAAGACUGUAAAAAUCCACGACCAGAAUGUUUAGAUGCUUUCUAAUUAUUCAUGAAUACUGAGAGCCUCUUUCUGUGUUUUGUCUGUUUUUUUUGUUUGUUUUUUUUACCUUAUUUGUUACUAACAAACUCACACUGUUUACAUUUACAUGUAUGUUUCCAUCUUUACCAGCCACACUCUGCCUGCAUUUAGAAAACAAACCUUAGAAAUCGUCGUUUUUCUCUUUUGUAAUUCAGUGAAUAUACUGCGCUGCUUCCUUUUAUUGCGUCAAACAUUGCUUUAAGUUUUUCAGUAUCCAGUUAUUUUUUACUGCUGUUUGAAUUCUCUGCAUGUUUGACCCUGUAGACUGUUUGAUGGACUGCUUGUCUUCCUGUUUGUAACCGCCGCCUG